rnacentral:rRNA from 1 species
AUGCUACAGCCAGCCACCAGAUCAUGGAACGAAGGGUUGGUCCAGUCGGUGUUCAUACGCUUGGAUGCGGAUGCCAUUUUGAGAAUCCCGGUUUGCACACGCAACAUUGAUGACGUCUGGGCAUGGUAUCCAGACAAAAAAGGGAGGUUCACUGUCAGCUCAGCUUAUAGAUUCUUGGUUAGCACCAAGCUGCAGCGAAGAGUGGCUAGAGGGCAGAACGAGAUCAUCUUCGGGACAGGAGGAACAAAGGGCCUGGUCGGCUCUAUGGAAAAUUUCAAUACCUUCAAAGAUCAAAGUUUUCAUGUGGAGAUUAGCACGUCAUUCGCUGCCUACCACGGAUGUGCUGCAUCACAGAAACAUGGCAAUCCAAAACACAUGCCCUCUAUGUGUGUGUGGGCUCUAUCAUACGCAGAUGUGGUGCAAGCGAUGUCAGAACUAGAAGAACCAAGUGCGAAAAGGUGGUUGUUUGAAUUACAUUGCAAGCUUGAUCACUCCAAGUUCACGGCAAUGGCUGUCACAUUAUGGGAUGUUUGGUAUGCACGGCGGAAAGCUGUGUACGAAGCGAUCUUUCAAGCGCCGCAGCAAACCAUAUCUUUUGUGAACAAUUUCAUAGCAAACUUGCAUCAGCUCCAAAGGGAACCAGUGGUGGCUAGCCCAACAACAACGGUGGUCUGGCCACAACGCUGGCUUGCACCCGGGUCCGGUGCUGUCAAAAUUAAUGUCGAUGGAGCGCUGGCGAGGAAUAUGCAUGGUGGAGCAGUGGCAGCUCUCUGUAGACACGAGAAUGGCAACUACUUGGGGUCCUCGGCAGUGGUCUAUGGAGGGAUCACCGACCCCAUGAUGCUAGAAACAUUUGCAUGCAGGGAGGGACUAGCUUUGGCAGAUGAUCUGGAUGCUCACGACGUGGUGAUGGCUUCGGAUUGUGAGGGCGUAGUCAAUGACAUCAACAGAGGGACAAGUGGUCCUAACACGGCUAUUACACAUGAAAUAUUAGCUCGUAGCUCUAGUCUCUCAUCCUGCAAGUUUAUUUUUGAGCGUAGAAAUUUCAAUUUUGAGGCUCACAAUCUCGCAAAGCAUGCAUGUAAUCUAGGCAUAGGUAGAUAUGUGUGGUUGGGCACUCCUCAUGACCCAACUAUUGUACCUAUGAACAUUACUCUUAUUCAAUAA